CACCAUGAGAAGAGGAUGGCUGCAUCAAAGCUCCCAAACAACAGUUUCACUUUGAGUCAAGUUCUGGAUAUGUUUAAUCUAGGUGACCGCCCAGACAAGGCAUGCAACAUUGCGGUUAUCCCUCAAAAUGAGAAAGAUGCUGUCCUGAGUGGUUGUGAUAGCGAUGGGUCAGAUAUGGACUAUGGACAGGCCAUUUGCCAGCCAGGCUGUUGAAUGCAUAUGCUGAACCUAUACAAACUGAUCAUGACAGGAACAACGUUAUCAGUGAUUAUGACCCACCCCCUCCUUUGUUGAUAAUGGACUUCUACCAGCCAGAGGGUACAGUCAGAAGAGCCAAGGGCCUCUACAAGCCAUAGGGGUCAGCCAGAAGAGCCAAGAAAAAAGUUGUGGGUGGUCAAAAAUAAAGAUUGAGUGUUCAAACGAUCGAAGAGGCCAGCCACCGAUGUGAUUCCAAAACACAUAGUAUUCAGCCCAAAAAUGCAAAAGUUUGGCACGAAACCACUGAGCCACGGAAGGAGAUCUUUACUGGCCGCUACUGUUGAAGAUCAGGCAAGAUAUAACAAAGCUUCUCACUGGCCAAUCAACACGAUGCACCGGUUCAGGAGAAGCCGUCAUUGUGACAAACGUACUACCUAUGCAUGUGAGAAAUGCAAAGCGCCACUGCCUAUUGAGGGCUUCAAGAUAGUAGAAAAUGAGAUGAGAACGAAUGAAAAAAGGGCUGAAAAAGACAAAAGAAAAAUAGAAAAGUUGAUAAAGGGUGAGGAGGAGCAGAACAACGGACUAGGAAGAAAAUACAAGUUGACGAUCAAGACAAUCAAAAUUACUGAAAUGUUUUUGGAAAAGAAAGGUCAAUUGAUUCAAGACAUACUGUAUGACAGUAGAUAUACCAGGACUGACUGAUCAUAGUUCAAAACAGUGAUGCACAAACUAAUCUUGCACUUGGUUCUGAAGCCUACCUCAUAUAUAUAUAUAUAUAUAUAUAAAAGCACUCAUUGUGCAGUGGCACUUUUUAAAUAUAUAUAUUUAUAUAUAUUGUAUUUUGUUCAGUGUAGGCCUCUACAUGAAUGCAUAUUCUACAUAUUCUACUCUAUCCUAAAUGUUACCUUUAUGUUCAGUGGGAAUAAAUCACACGACUGCUUUACAGUUGUUAGUGAAUGUUGCACUAAAAUGUCACAAUGACAAUGUUACAUUGAAUAUUGCACUAAUGUACAAAUUCAAAUAUUACAAUAAAGUUACAAUAUUGUUUCAAUACAUGUUGCACUAAAGUAAAUGUUGAAAUGCAUUGGUUGUUUUUUUGUCUUUGCUCUCAGUAUUCAUAUCGUGUUGUAUAAGGGUUUUUGAUGUGUAAAAUAGUCAGACUUGAAUGUGACGGAGCAUUCUAGAGGCAAUGCUGGGGACUGCCAGUGACAGAGUAUUAAAUGUGUUAAUAACUGGGUUGGGAUUUCUAAGAUGUUUGAUAACUGCAUAGGAGAAAUAUGUUAAUUUUGUAAAUGUGACAAUUGUGACCGACCAUAAAAUACUUUUUCAUUCAAAUUUAAUAAAAUUGAUUACUUUA